GCGUGGCUUAAUGGUUAAGGUAUUCGGCUACCAAUCGAAUGGUUGUGAGUUGAAUUCUCGUUGACGCG
rnacentral:tRNA from 1 species